rnacentral:rRNA from 1 species
UACGAAGGGGGCUAGCGUUGUUCGGAAUUCCUGGGCGUAAAGCGAGUGUAGGUGGUUGUCCACGUUGGAUGUGAAAGCCUUGAGCUCAACUCAAGAAAUGCAUUCAGGACUGGGCGACUAGAGGACCGGAGAGGAUAGUGGAAUUCCCAGUGUAGUGGUGAAAUGCGUAGAUAUUGGGAAGAACACCAGUGGCGAAGGCGGCUAUCUGGACGGUUUCUGACACUAAGACUCGAAAGCGUGGGGAGCAAACAGG